AACCCUCCCCCUAAUCACCACCGCCGUCCUGCGCCGCCUCCGUCUCCGCCGCCGCCGCUCGUGAUUUCCCAUUCUUCUACGCCGAUGCGGUCGAUUGAGGACGAGGCCCACAUCUUGGGCCAAUUGAUGAGAAUGAUGACCGCCGAAGAUCGCGAGGUUGCUGAUUGCUUACUCUUCUUGUCGAAUUACACUCCCCGGCAGGACGAAACCCUUCUUCCAAAAGCAGCGGAAUUGGAAGACAGAGCCGCCAUUGCCGCCGUUUCCACCGCCGGCGUGAUUGUGCCGUUUCACGAGCGUAACGAAGAGAAAGAAGAAGUGGGAGGAGAAGGGUCGAGUGGGAUUUGGUUCACCACAGCGGAAACCAGCGGCGUAGUGGGAGGAGGUUGCAUCAGCGUUGGUGGUGGGUAUUCAAC
rnacentral:lncRNA from 1 species